rnacentral:rRNA from 1 species
UAAGGAAUAUUGGUCAAUGGACGCAAGUCUGAACCAGCCAUGCCGCGUGAAGGAUUAAGGUCCUCUGGAUUGUAAACUUCUUUUAUCUGGGACGAAAAAAGGCGAUUCUUCGUCACUUGACGGUACCAGAUGAAUAAGCACCGGCUAACUCCGUGCCAGCAGCCGCGGUAAUACGGAGGGUGCAAGCGUUAUCCGGAUUCACUGGGUUUAAAGGGUGCGUAGGCGGGCAGGUAAGUCAGUGGUGAAAAUCCCUGGAGCUUUAAACUCCCAGAACUGCCAUUGAUACUAUCUGUCUUGAAUAUUGUGGAGGUAAGCGGAAUAUGUCAUGUAGCGGUGAAAUGCUUAGAUAUGACAUAGAACACCUAUUGCGAAGGCAGCUUACUACGCAUAUAUUGACGCUGAGGCACGAAAAGCGUGGGGAUCAAACAGGAUUAGAUACCCUGGUAGUCCACGCCCUAAACGAUGGAUACUCGACAUACGCGAUACACUGUGUGUGUCUGAGCG